AUUGAACGCUGGCGGCAGGCUUAACACAUGCAAGUCGAACGUUUCGCAGACGGGUGAGUAACGUUUGUGAAUCUGGCUUAUGGAGGGGGAAAACUAUGGAAACCUGUACUUAUAACCCCGUACCUUAGGAUUGGGCCAAGUGGGAUUAGUUAGUUGGUGUGGUAAAGGCUCACAAAGCCGACGAUCUCGAUCCGGUCUGAGAGGAGGACCAGCCACCCUGGGACGGGUACACGGCCCAGACCCCUACGGGAGGCAGCAUUGGGGAAUAUUGCGCAAUGGGGGCAGCCUGACGCAGCCAUGCCGCGUGAAUGAAGAAGGCCUUCGGGUUGUAAAGUUCUUUCGGUAGCGAGGCGGUAACUACAGAAGAAGCACCGGCUAACUACGUGCCAGCAGCCGCGGUAAUUC
rnacentral:rRNA from 1 species